rnacentral:tRNA from 1 species
CAGAGAGUAGUUUAAGAAAAAUAUUAAUUUUGGAGAUUAAAGAUGAGUUGAUAAAUUUUUCUCUGA